UAAACCUGAUGUCCUUGGACCCAAAAAUAGAACUCCGAAUGAAUAUAAUUUAAUUCUAACACAUUUCAAGCACGGUACCUAAAGUACCCAAACAACAAACAAUUGUCCUAACGAGGUGGGCACUCGCUGCCCACUAACGGGCAAAACAAAACACUGCCGAGAGAGUGCUCGGUGUCACCGCCCUCAGUUUUAAAAAUAUUUUUUCACUUAGGAUCAAGCGGUUGCGGUCGCCC
rnacentral:lncRNA from 1 species